rnacentral:misc_RNA from 1 species
AAAGCCCAUUUGACUCCUUAAAUAUUUAUCCUAUCCUUUUUCGGUAGCAGUUCAAAAUUAGUUAUCUUUCUCAUUCACUCUACUCUUUUUUUCACAAACGGAUCUGAGCGGAAACGCUUUUCUCUUAUCACAAGUCUUGUGAUAUAUGAUACACAUACAAAUGAACAUCUUUGAGCAAGGAAUCUCUAUUUGAAUGAUUCACAGUCCAUAUGAUUAUUUUAUUCGUACUGAAACUUUAAAAGUUUUUAUUUUGAAACUCCAAAAAAUUCCAGGGCCUGGAUAAGACUUUGUAAUACUCUUUCGUUCUUUUAAUUGACAUAGACCCCAGCCAUCUAGUAAAAUGAGGAUGAUGCAUCGGGAAUG